rnacentral:lncRNA from 1 species
AUUUAUGCUUGCUCUCCCGAGUCUCAACUCUCAAGUACUCGUGGUAGCCACGCUUCGACUCAGAACAUGAUUCGAAAAGAUUUUGUAUAAGGUUUUCUCUUUUCUAAAUUGCCAUUUUUUAGUCUAUUUGUUUAGACUUUUUUUUUUUUUUUUAAAUUUCCCACCAAUGUGUUUAAAACCAAAUUAAAUCCAAUCGAAUGGCUGAAACAGUCACUAGAUGAGUAGAUGUUGUAAUUAACUAUAUAUCCCAAAACCAAUAGAACAUGUUUCACAUGACUGUCGUAAGUGAUCCAUUUACC